rnacentral:snRNA from 1 species
AAAGUUUCUAUCGCCUACCAUGAUCACGAAGGUGGCUUUCCCAGGGCGAGGCUUAUCCAUUGCACUUCGGGUGUGCUGACCCCUGCGAUUUCCCCAAAUGUGGGAAACUCAACUGCAUAAUUUUUGGUACUGGGGGACUGCGUUCGUGCUAUUCCCUG